UACAGAGGGUGCGAGCGUUGUCCGGAAUCACUGGGCGUAAAGGGCGCGUAGGUGGCGAGCCAAGUCCAUGGUGAAAGCUCGAUGCUCAACAUCGAGUCGGCCACGGAUACUGGUGCGCUUGAGCACUGUAGAGGCUAAUGGAAUUCCGGGUGUAGCGGUGGAAUGCGUAGAGAUCCGGAAGAACACCGGUGGCGAAGGCGGUCAGCUGGGCAGUG
rnacentral:rRNA from 1 species